rnacentral:lncRNA from 1 species
GACGGCUGAAACUUCCUGAACAUGAUCCAAGGACGUACAACAAAUGACGCAUUUUCGACACACCAACAAAUGGCACACCAGAAACCUGCCCUAUAUAUAUUUGUAAUUUCAGUUUUACGAAAUAGUUAAAUAUUACAUAAUCGUCAUUAUAAGUUAUUAAUUAUAUCUAUUUAUUGGUUAUUUAUAAUCAAUUUUAAACAACUUUCGGUCUUAAAAUACAAAAUCAAAUCAAAUGAUGUAAACAACAAAUAUUCAAUAAUGAGGCUCAACAAAUGUAAUUAAUAAAUAGCCUAAUAAUUAGUUAUAAUGUAAUGGGCAGUUAAUUCAGUUAAAGUUCAAGUAUGAACAUUAUAAAUACUUGAGCAAACCUAUGUAAUAAGUAAUUUUUCAGUUAAUUAAAUUCAACAAUUUAGCUGGUUUGUCUUCUUUCCCUUCUAAAAGGUUCCAAAGACAUUCUGACAGUAUCUCCGGCCAUCGUCGGUCUUCCACACGAGGAAGACAAUAGGGAUGUCUACUUUCUAAAUCAGUUCUUAUAUGGGAUCAGAGCUUAAUCGAUCCUACAAGCUUCUGCAAAAUGUCAAACAGCUCGAAUACCAACGACGACCGUGAGUCCAGCGGAUUAUUAACUUAUAGAUUCUAACUUAAUUAUUUACUUUGAGCUAGGACAUAGGAUUCUAACUUAAUUUUUUCAAUCAGGUUAUAACUGCAUGUGACGGACGAAGAGCGGUUAUUAUAUUUGGCUACGUACCUAAUGAUAUAGGCCAGGGGUGAAAAAAUGAUUUUUGAUUUUCUGAGAGCACCAUUCCGACGACUUGACUCUCUGACGACCUACGGAUCGAGGAAGAGAAGAAGGCAUUUGUGAAUUGUGAUCUAUUAUCCAUCCAUUUGUAAAUAACAUUUAUGUUUUGG